rnacentral:rRNA from 1 species
AGGACGAACGCUGGCGGCAUGCCUAAUACAUGCAAGUCGAACGCGACCAGCCGGUGCUUGCACUGGCGAAGUCGAGUGGCGAACGGGUGAGUAACACGUGAGAAACCUACCCUGGAGUGGGGAAUAACUCGAAGAAAUUCGAGCUAAUACCGCAUACCUUCUUACCGUCGAAUGGUGGUUUGAAGAAAGAUUUAUCGCUCUGGGAGGGUCUCGCGGCCUAUCAGCUAGUUGGUGAGGUAACGGCUCACCAAGGCAUCGACGGGUAGCUGGUCUGAGAGGACGAUCAGCCACACUGGAACUGGGACACGGUCCAGACUCCUACGGGAGGCAGCAGUAGGGAAUCUUGCGCAAUGGGCGAAAGCCUGACGCAGCAAUGCCGCGUGCGGGACGAAGGCCCUAGGGUCGUAAACCGCUUUCAGUAGGGACGAAAAUGACGGUACCUGCAGAAGAAGCUCCGGCCAACUACGUG